AAGCGAACGAUAAGCGCUAUCAAUGAAAAACAUUGCACAGGAUGAGACCACCGUACCUAUGUUGUUUGGACACGUCAGACGCUUCUUCAACUAUCUUAGCGUCGGCGUACGUGUCCACCACUUACCUACUGAUGUUCUCACGAUUUGAAUUUAUUGUGAUUUGUUUGUUGAGAUUCCGCUGACGCCUGCCUAAGCUUUUAUGAUUGCCCUUUUGACCGCCAGCACUUCGCAACCUAUUCUGAUCCUGUUCUCGGCGAGUGCCCAGCUUAAAUUGGCGCAAACAUGUACGUGUCUUUUUCAAAUAUGGCGCAGCAUGCACGCCUGACUACUACUGGAGUUCCUGCUAUGUCAAAUAAAGCUGAUUAUAC
rnacentral:sRNA from 1 species